GAUGAACGCUGGCGGCGUGCCUAAUACAUGCAAGUCGAGCGAACAGACGAGGAGCUUGCUCCUCUGACGUUAGCGGCGGACGGGUGAGUAACACGUAGAUAACCUACCUAUAAGACUGGGAUAACUUCGGGAAACCGGAGCUAAUACCGGAUAAUAUUUUGAACCGCAUGGUUCGAUAGUGAAAGAUGGUUUUGCUAUCACUUAUAGAUGGAUCUGCGCCGGAUUAGCUAGUUGGUAAGGUAACGGCUUACCAAGGCAACGAUGCGUAGCCGACCUGAGAGGGUGAUCGGCCACACUGGAACUGAGACACGGUCCAGACUCCUACGGGAGGCAGCAGUAGGGAAUCUUCCGCAAUGGGCGAAAGCCUGACGGAGCAACGCCGCGUGAGUGAUGAAGGUCUUCGGAUCGUAAAACUCUGUUAUUAGGGAAGAACAAACGUGUAAGUAACUAUGCACGUCUUGACGGUACCUAAUCAGAAAGCCACGGCUAACUACGUG
rnacentral:rRNA from 1 species